rnacentral:rRNA from 1 species
UACGAAGGGGGCUAGCGUUGCUCGGAAUUACUGGGCGUAAAGCGCACGUAGGCGGCUUUCUAAGUCGGGGGUGAAAUCCUGGAGCUCAACUCCAGAACUGCCUUCGAUACUGGAAAGCUCGAGUCCGGGAGAGGUGAGUGGAGCUGCGAGUGUAGAGGUGAAAUGCGUAGAUAUUCGCAAGAACACCAGUGGCGAAGGCGGCUCACUGGCCCGGUACUGACGCUGAGGUGCGAAAGCGUGGGGAGCAAACAGG